ACGCGUCCGCUGCCGCUGCCGCUGCCGGGCCGACGCCUCCGACCGCUCUCUCGUCCUCCACCCCCGCCCCGCCGCGCUCCGGGCAGCGUCCCGCGCGGAGAAGGGGGCGGGCGGCGGAGAGGUGAGGAGCGAGCCUGCAGCGAGCGAGGCCUUCGAAGUUGAGCAGCGGAGUGCGGGGAGACCCUCCGCUGCCCCCUCUUUAAAGCCGCGCGCGCACACACCGAUCCUCCACACAGCAGGCGGUGCCUUUCACGCGAAGAGGUUACGACCACGGACACAACCUCCUUUGAUGCAUUGUGCGAGGCAGCACCUCGGGCCCCGGACAGUAGUCAUUUCACAGAAAAUGCACCGCCCCGAGUGUCUUAUUGCUGUGAUGAAAUGGAAAUUUAAAUAAAAGGUCGAACACGUGCGUUCACUGGGAAGUAUUGACAUGGGUGUUACAUCACCAGCAGCCAAUCAGAUAACUCCAGUCGUGUUUAUACUUCUACAACCACCUUGUGAGUAUUACAGUAUGUCAUAACGUUAUAAAUAUUAGGCAGGGUUUUCCCCAGGAGCGGGGAGGAGUCUGCUUCUACGGACGUUGUGAGCGGCUCCGAAGAUUGUGUGUUUAAAGUCAACAAUUCAUUUUUAAGACUUUUUUCGAACUGUUUACAUUACAUGGACUUUAGAUUGAUUCUGACAGAAUGAACUGGAAAUGAAAUCCCACAGUUAUGAUCGUAGUAGAGUUUUUUUUUCCAAUUUAGGGCCCUUAUACUCCUUUUAAAAAUUUUUAAUAUGCUAAAUUUAGCAAAUACUAAAGUGUUAAGACUCAUCUGACAAUGUGAGAAUUUAAGCCUAUUUCAGGUUAAGAAAAAAAAGAUGUUUUCAAGUUAUGGAGGGGCUUUUUACUCUUAAGCGACAUAUGUAUUAGAAGUUGAAUCACGAACUGAUAAAAUGCUCCAGAUAAUUGUUGACUAAAAAAAAUACGGCAGGACAAAUUUUUUACAUUAAUACAUAUGUGCAGAAAAUGAGAAAUAUACAUGAACUCUUUACAGUUAUAGAUUAAUGGGAAGGGUUAUGUUAAAGGCUUGAACCUCCUAAAUAAUGUAUUAAUGUAAAUAAAGUUAUAUAUGUUUUAUGAAGAACAGGUGUUACAAUUUUUAGACCUAGUUUUAUGAUUCUUAUUCUCUUCAAAAGUUCUUUUUCUAUUUCAAAACUAAGAGCAAUAUGUAAAGCUUUGUAUAAUAUGGAAUAUGGUAUGUAUUUCAAGGUUACUUUAAAAAGCAAGCUUUGGCUGGUCCCAAGGUAGUGAAUUGUCUCAAUUGGUUAUUCACAGUUGGUUGCCCGUUGUACCACUCUUUCCCCACUUCCACUUGACUAGUCUUUUAAAAAUAAAUAAAUAUUUAAAUAAACAAGUCUUCUCAAACAUUAUAAAAGACCGUUUUUCUUAAUAUUUUUUAAAUGGACUAACAUGAAUCCACAUCCAGACUCAUAUUAAUUGUAUACAUUUAUUCAAAGCAACAUUCACUUCAUUCAUUGUAAUUUUUAGUACCUGUUGAUGAGCAGUGUUGUAUAUCAAACAAAAAACAUUGGUUUUAUCUUGUAGAUUACAUGUAAUUUUAAUGUAAAGAAUGACAGUACUACCCUGCCACAAAAGGAUUUUGGCUUUGAGUUAUUUUUCCGGUAAUAAACAUAUUGUCACCUGGCCACCAGUGACCAAGAGCUUGAAAUUCUGAUAUAGUUCUUCAGGCAUUUUGAAAAUAAAUACAUUUAUUAUAUGUUAAUCACCACAGCCUCCACCCCCAUAAAAAGAGGGAAGAGUUACUGAAGUUAAUUACUUAUCUAGGAUCAAGGUGAUGGGAAAUGAAAAUGGACUUAAAAAUUUUUAUUUUGCUGGGCACGGUGGCUCACGCCUGUAAUCCCAGCACUUUGGGGGCCGAGACGGGCGGAUCAUGAGGUCUGGAGUUCAAGACCAGCCUGACCAACAUGGUGAAACCCCGUCUCUACUAAAAAUUCAAAAAAUUAGCCAGGUGUGGUGGCGCUCGCCUAUAAUCCCAGCUACUCAGGAGGCUGAGGUAGAAGAAUCACUUGAACCAGAGAGGCGGAGGUUGCAGUGAGCUGAGAUCAUGCCAUUGCACUCCAGCCUGGGCGACAGAGCGAGAUUCCAUCUGAAAAAAAAAAAAAUUUUAUUUCAGCUCUAAAGCUUGUUUUCAUUCAAAAACUGUUAAAUUCAAAUAUUUGCUACUUCUUAUCUCGUAUCCUACUACAUAGUAGGCACUAUAUAAAUUUAUGUAUUAUUUUUGCUAAUAGUGCCAGAAUCAACCAAAAACGUUUAAAUCCAUAAUUGUGUCAGACCUGCCUUUUUCUCAGACAUAUAUCUUACCUUAUGUUUUAUAAAAUCCUCAUUGUCUUCUAUCUGAAGUUAUGUUUAAACAUGGACUAAUUAGGAAUGAAUGACACUAGAGUCAAGUGGUACAAAUAAAUGACUUAAAUUCUAGGACCACUGAACUAACAGUAUC
rnacentral:lncRNA from 1 species